AGUGAACGCUGGCGGUAGGCCUAACACAUGCAAGUCGAACGGCAGCACAGUAAGAGCUUGCUCUUACGGGUGGCGAGUGGCGGACGGGUGAGGAAUACAUCGGAAUCUACUUUUUCGUGGGGGAUAACGUAGGGAAACUUACGCUAAUACCGCAUACGACCUACGGGUGAAAGCAGGGGAUCUUCGGACCUUGCGCGAUUGAAUGAGCCGAUGUCGGAUUAGCUAGUUGGCGGGGUAAAGGCCCACCAAGGCGACGAUCCGUAGCUGGUCUGAGAGGAUGAUCAGCCACACUGGAGGUGGAACGCGGUCCAGACUCCUACGAGAGGCAGCAGUGGGGAAUGUUGGACAAUGGGCGCAAACCUGAUCCAGCCAUACCGCGUGGGUGAAGGAGGCCUUCGGGUUGUAAAGCCCUUUUGUUGGGAAAGAAAAGCAGCAGGUUAAUACCCCGCUGUUCUGACGGUACCCAAAGAAUAAGCACCGGCUAACUUCGUG
rnacentral:rRNA from 1 species